rnacentral:lncRNA from 1 species
AAGCGAAUGCUGCUGAGGAAGCGGAUACCCAUGUGGCUGUGGUCAUCAGGCCAGGCAACGCAGGACUGACAGACGACGAGAAAUCAUGUCCCUGUUGAGGCUGCUGUAUAGACAACAAACCAGAGAAAGGCAUUUGGGGAGGAACUACAUCAUGCCAGCACUGUCCUUGUAAAACGCUGAUGGUAGCAGGGAUGACAAGAUGCUCCAUGUCAGCUCAGCCAAGUGAUGCAAAUUCAGCUGAGCCUGGCUCGCAGGGGAAAAACAGCAGCGGUGCUCAUGUGAAACAGCUCCCUUCUCCUCCGACCAAUACAGCAGCCUUCCCAAACUCGGGGGGAUUCAGACAUGGGGUUUGUGCUUCUGCUUCUUCUUUGAAAAACAGCCCACCUGGCUGCAGGAAAAGUUUCUCAUUUUUGUAUUUCAACCAGCCUUCCAAUUCAAGCACCACUUGGGAGUACCCACCAAAACUACUUGGUUUUGGUCAUUCAGCUCAGAGGAAAGGACUGGUUGAUUCCCUGUCCCCAAGGGACGGGGAGGGAGAAGCCCUUCUGUUUUCCCCAGUUCCUUCCUGCAGCUGCCAUGCCACGUCCCCCGAGCCCUGGGGAAGCGCUGCUCCCAUGCUGUGUCCUGCCGGGCCUGUGCUCCUUGGAAGCCCACUUCAGCCUUCGAAUCCAGAGCUUGUGGCAGACCCUGCUCAGGAAAACUGGCCACGCUGGGAGGUCUGGAGCCUAGGCAGAGCCUAGGCCUAGCAUUAGCAUCUCUGAAACUUGACUUCUAAGCACAUGCGUAGCAAAAAUAAAUCUGUGCCUGUAAAACCCA